rnacentral:rRNA from 1 species
GGCCCAGACAGCCAGGAUGUUGGCUUAGAAGCAGCCAUCAUUUAAAGAAAGCGUAAUAGCUCACUGGUCGAGUCGGCCUGCGCGGAAGAUGUAACGGGGCUAAACCAUGCACCGAAGCUGCGGCAGCGAACGUAUCACUUAAAGCGAUUCAGCGGRUKACGAUUGACGGAGCGAAGCGACGUCAAAGCGUAUACAAAGUCGAGUCGGUUUAAGGAUACGUUCGUUGGGUAGGGGAGCGUUCUGUAAGCCKKYGAAGGUGKSYYGUGAGGSWUGCUGGAGGUAUCAGAAGUGCGAAUGCUGACAUAAGUAACGAUAAAGCGGGUGAAAAGCCCGCUCGCCGGAAGACCAAGGGUUCCUGUCCAACGUUAAUCGGGGCAGGGUGAGUCGACCCCUAAGGCGAGGCCGAAAGGCGUAGUCGAUGGGAAACGGGUUAAUAUUCCCGUACUUGGUGUUACUGCGAAGGGGGGACGGAGAAGGCUAUGUUGGCCGGGCGACGGUUGU